rnacentral:lncRNA from 1 species
GAUAGCAUCUCCAGCAUCGUAAUAUCCGCCGACCAGAUCUUUCAUCAAAACGGAGGGAUCGGAUUUGCCAUCUUGGAGGCCCGAGUUCCCUCUCCACGACACAUUAUUAUGCUUGGGCAGCUUUCCAGCUACAGUGGAUUCAUAUAUAUAAGGAUUAUAAAUAAUUCAACGAUACACAAUCAGUAAAUUGUAUGUAUCUACUGCUAUUAUCAUGUUCUAUAAUGCAGGGUUGAUUAGACUCGUGAAUCUAAUAAAUACUCAAUUUAGUAAUCAUGUUUAUUUCCAUUUUGCUUAAAUGGGAUGGGAUCGUAUAGAAGUUGAAUCUAAAUAACAUAAAUUGAAGCUAAAAAGAGAAGAAAAGAAAAAAACUAAACGAAGGGGAGAGAAAACGUACAACGCUGAGCAUUAAAGAACAUGAGCGCCUUGUGAAGAGCCAGAGUGUAGUUAUCGGGCGGAGAGUGGCGGUGGUGAUGACGUGGGACAGUCUUGACGAUGAGGGUGAUGAGUCCGGCCAGGAGGGCGGAGACGAGCAGGGUCCCCACGGUCCAUACAAAGAUCUUGCGGCUCACAAUGAUACAUCCGAGAUCGACGUACUUCUUCUUCUUCUUUUGCUCCCCGGGGCCAAGCAGCCAGCUUUGCUGAGUCUCGUCCAAGGGGCGAGAGAGUGCAGCCCUAUCCAGGUCCUGCAGAUUCCUGCUCCUGUCGUCGUCAGUGGCAGAAUCAGUGGCGUUUAUCUCCAGGGGACCUCCCCACGGAUCUCUGCCGUACAUGAUGAGGAUUUGGAAGAGUAGUGGGCUGAAAAUGCAGGAGCACCGACAGAUCUGAUCUACCAAGACGAAGCGGAAG